AUUGAACGCUGGCGGCAGGCUUAACACAUGCAAGUCGAGCGGAGAUGAGGUGCUUGCACCUUAUCUUAGCGGCGGACGGGUGAGUAAUGCUUAGGAAUCUGCCUAUUAGUGGGGGACAACAUUCCGAAAGGAAUGCUAAUACCGCAUACGUCCUACGGGAGAAAGCAGGGGAUCUUCGGACCUUGCGCUAAUAGAUGAGCCUAAGUCGGAUUAGCUAGUUGGUGGGGUAAAGGCCUACCAAGGCGACGAUCUGUAGCGGGUCUGAGAGGAUGAUCCGCCACGCUGGGACUGAGACACGGCCCAGACUCCGACGGGAGGCAGCAGCGGGGAAUAUUGGACAAUGGGGGGAACCCUGAUCCAGCCAUGCCGCGUGUGUGAAGAAGGCCUUAUGGUUGUAAAGCACUUUAAGCGAGGAGGAGGCUACUGAGACUAAUACUCUUGGAUAGUGGACGUUACUCGCAGAAUAAGCACCGGCUAACUCUGUGCCAGCAGCCGCAGUAACAC
rnacentral:rRNA from 1 species